rnacentral:rRNA from 1 species
UACGAAGGGGGCUAGCGUUGUUCGGAAUUACUGGGCGUAAAGCGUGCGCAGGCGGCUUCUCAAGUCAGUGGUGAAAGCCCGGAGCUCAACUCCGGAACUGCCAUUGAAACUGUGAAACUUGAGGACGAGAGAGGUGAGUGGAAUUCCCAGUGUAGAGGUGAAAUUCGUAGAUAUUGAGAAGAACACCGGUGGCGAAGGCGGCUCACUGGCUCGUAUCUGACACUCAAGCGCGACAGCGUGGGGAUCAAACAGG